rnacentral:tRNA from 1 species
CAUAGUAUGACAGAUAAAUGUGUUAGAUUUAAAAUCUAUUUAUAGAGGUUUGGCUCUUGCUGUGU